rnacentral:lncRNA from 10 species
AUGCAGAUUUUUACAAAAACUCUUACAGAGAAGACCAUCACCCUGGAGGUUGAAACUUCAGAUACAAUAGAAAAUGUAAAGGCCAAGAUCCAGGAUAAGGAAGGAAAUCUGCCUGGUUAGCAAAGACUUAUCUUUGCUGGUAAGCAACUGGAAGAUGGAUGGUAUGGUUUGGCUCUGUGUCCCCACCCAAAUCUCAUCUUGAAUUGUAGCUCCCAUAAUUCCCAUUUGCUGUAGGAGGGACCUGGUGGGAGAUAACUGAAUCAUGGGGGUGUUUUCCCUCAUACUGUGCUCAUGGUAGUGAGUAAGUCUCAUGAGAUCUGAUGGUUUUAUAAGGGGUUUCCACUUUCGUUUGGCUCUCAUUCUCUCUUGCCUGCCACCAUGUAAGAUGUGCCUUUCACCUUCCACCAUGAUUGUGAGGCCUCCCCAGCCAUGUGGAACUGUGAGUUCAUUACACCUCUUUUUCUUUACAAAUUACCCAGUCUUGGGUAUAUCUUUAUCAGCAGCAUGAAAACACACUAAUAAAAAUGGGCAUCCUUUGUCUAACUACAACAUUCACAAGGAGUCUACUCUUUGUCUCAUGCUGAGACUUUGUAGUGGCUCUAAGAAAAGGAAGAAGUCUUACACCCCUCCCAAAAACAAUAAGAAGGUGAAGCUGACUGUCCUGAAAUACUAUAGGAUGGAUGACAAUGGCAAAAUUAGUAGCCUCCGUCAGGAGUGUCCUUCAGAUGAAUGUGGUCCUAGAGUUUUUAUGGCCAGCCACUUUGACACAUUAUUGUGGCACAGGGUGUCUGACUUAUCGCUUCAACAAACCAGAAGACAAGUGA